AAGUAUAAAGGCCCAGCCUGCCCAGUGAACUAGUUUUAACGGCCGCGGUAUCCUAACCGUGCAAAGGUAGCGUAAUCACUUGUCUCCUAAUUAGAGACCGGUAUGAACGGCCACAUGAGGACCAAACUGUCUCAUAUAACAAGUCAAUGAAACUGAACUCUCAGUCCAAAAGCUGAGAUAAACCCAUAAGACGAGAAGACCCCGCGGAGCUUAAACCGCCCUACUACCAAAAUACACACGGGCCUUAAGCCCAACACCACCAUGUACCAAGACAUAGUAAGCCGCUUUGAGUUGGGGCAACUGUGGAGAAAAACAAAACCUCCAUGAACUAGGACUAACCAUCCAUUCCAGGCCUACCAGCCAAAAAUAACCAACAUCGACCCAGUAAUACUCCCCAUCGAACCAAGUUACCCCGGGGAUAACAGCGCUAUCCCCUCCAAGAGUCCACAUCACCGAGGGGGUUUACGACCUCGAUGUUGGAUCAGGGCCCCCAGGCGGUGCAGCCGCUGCCAAAGGUUCGUUUGUUCAAC
rnacentral:rRNA from 1 species